rnacentral:rRNA from 1 species
UACGUAUGGUGCAAGCGUUAUCCGGAUUUACUGGGUGUAAAGGGAGUGUAGGUGGCAUGGCAAGCCAGAGGUGAAAACCCGGGGCUCAACCCCGUGGAUUGCCUUUGGAACUGUUGUGCUGGAGUGCAGGAGGGGUAAGCGGAAUUCCCAGUGUAGCGGUGAAAUGCGUAGAUAUUGGGAGGAACACCGGUGGCGAAGGCGGCUUACUGGACUGUAACUGACACUGAGGCUCGAAAGCGUGGGGA